rnacentral:miRNA from 1 species
GAAUUGCUUCAAUGUUU